rnacentral:rRNA from 1 species
UACGAAGGGUCCAAGCGUUAUCCGGAUUUAUUGGGUUUAAAGGGUGCGUAGGCGGCUUAUUAAGUCAGUGGUGAAAGCCCGUAGCUUAACUACGGAACUGCCAUUGAUACUGAUGAGCUUGAAUAUACUUGAGGUUCGCGGAAUGUGUCAUGUAGCGGUGAAAUGCUUAGAUAUGACACAGAACACCGAUUGCGAAGGCAGCUAGCUAAAGUAUGAUUGACGCUGAUGCACGAAAGCGUGGGGAGCAAACAGG